GAGCCGUUGAUCUAACAGUCCAUGAUGAACCUGGCGAUGUUCAUCAACGGUCACGAGCUUACUUUUCCUUGGACUCAACGUCUGAACAUGUUGAUGAUCGGACGGCUCCUCUGGUUCGCAAGGUAGGUUCAAAUCGAAUUUUAUCUCCGACAGGCUCGUGGUUCUCUUUAUCUCUGGUCUCUGUCUCUUCCCCAACAACAUCAUGUUCGUGUUUUUUUAGUUUCUUGCUCCUCUCUUUUUAGGGUUUAUGCUCUGAGUGAACAGAGCAAAAGCGAAAGAGAAGAAAGUGGAAGUGAGAAAAAGAGAGGAGAGACAAAGAAGAUAAAAGAAGAGCCAUAAACUGAGGAGUAAAUAUUAACCGUUGAUUAUUUUGAUCUGAUUCUAUUUUCACAUCAUGUUAACGACACGUCAUGAUUCGGAUUCUCGAUGUUUUAUUCGUUAAUUUAAUUGCUUUUUGUCGUGUUUCGCGAAUUAUUUUGUCUUUCUUUCUUUUUCUCAAUUAUUUUGUCGAAUUUCUAUUAUAAUUUCGGAAAAAAGAGUGUAGAAAAUAUUGUUUUCUAGCUCCUAAUGUCUGGGCUAAAUGGGUCCACUUCUCGUGACCGAUAUCUCUUUGCAAUAGUGAACAGACCUCCAACGUUUCACCACUUCCCAAAUCAAUUCACCUGUUUAUAUUUCAAUUUUCAAAAAAAAAAAAAUUCUUUUGAUACCCAUCGGAGAUCUGGUCAGCUCCGGGAACACAAUUAGUGAUUCUAGACUGGAAUAACCUAAAAACACAUUGUCUGACCCAAAUUUGAAUAUUUUUCGACUAUUGCCAGAAUAUAAAACCGAUUGUUUAUUACGAUUCACCAUAUAAACUAUUUGGGUCGAAAUGCAAACUUAAACUAGUCAACUGGUGAUUAGCUACCAAUGAGAAUCAAACUCAUGAUCAACAUGGGCACAUUCUAAACCCUAAAUAAUUACCACUAAGCUACCAACCACUUGGUUUCAAAAAUUAUUAUGAUCAAAGAAAGUUUAUAUUUGAAUUGGAUGCGAAGAUCAAUUUAUAGCCUCUUGUUUUCGUUUUAUUAUAAAAGAGUACGCACAAAAACCGAGAACUAAUAAGCUUCAUGUUAAUUGGUGCAUUAGGGGGGACCUCUUUAAAGUACAAACAGAGUGGCACAUUGUACAAAAAUGGUCGGUCUGAACAUCCUACGUUUCGUACCAGUUUACUAUUUUAAUAUGUUCGAGAAGAGAUUUGAGCAUCUUUCUACAGACGGUUCUAUAUUGUUAUUGCACGGUGGUGAUGUAUUUUUGUUUUAAAUCUGGAGUGGCAAAACAUAGCAUGUGUUCAUCGGGUCGUCUAACUAACGCCUAGAUGCCCCUAAACCAUUAUUAAAAAAAAUACAUGUCCUAAUACCGUAUACCAAAUCCAAAUGAGGAGUUUGGUUUGUGGACCAUCGUUCAUCCACAAGUGGGAUUCAACUUCUGGCUCACUCAUAAUUUUGUAGGGACGAGUUUAAAAUAUAUAUAUCAUUAUUGUUUUGUCAAUGUUCGAAUCUUUUAAUACAAAAUGUUUUGUCAAAGCUUUUCCACCAAUAAUCCGGUGUUAAUGUUUGGGUACCGAUUUUACUAGACUAGAUCAACAGUUUUUAAUAAAUUUGUGUGCUAGUUAAUGUUUGAAAAGAAAAACAAACAUUAGCAAGUUAAUCAAAUAACGAUUUAACGAUAUAGAAGUUACAAAAAAAUGUACAAAAAUGAUCUGUGAUCUGAGCAACCAUCAACGCAAACCUCUCUCACCAACUCAACCAUGUGAAAGAUAUUAUAAAUUCAUUUAGUACUCACGGGUGAUAUAGGAAUUGCAGAGUAUUUUUCCACCGACACCAUUGAAUAUUUGAUUCCAGUACGUUAAAAGUAACACAAAGUGAUAGUAGAAUAUGACUAUAUUUUGCAAAUUCUUUAAGCAAAACAAAUGAAAGCUCUAAAUAUAAAGGCCACAUAGGUAGCCUACACGCUUGACAUCUAUGUCACACAUAGCCAUAAGGGGAUAACAGCUAACAGAUAAUAUCGAAGGCAAAGUCACUGACUAGUGACUACUCAACUCAGUCUAUAAAACAUACAACACUUAAACUUUUUGCUUCAUCAUCAAGAUUCUUCACCGUUUCAGACCUCGUCAGAAUGUUUGGGACAGCAAGAAUUAACGGCUUCAGCCACCGUCAGAAAUAUUUUGUCGUAUCUCAACAUGUCUGCGAAGUUAGAGACGUGUAGCUUAUCUAUUACCACAGGUCCUGGAUUCGCAAGAACCAACUGUAUUUCCACACGAAAAAACCAAAAAAGGUCAAUUAUAAAACUUCUUUGUAAUCUUUGCGGUUUAUCUAUAUGGUUUUAUGUUGUUUAAAAAAAAAGAAGCUAUAUGGUUUUAUGGUGUGUACCUGAAUGUCUCUCUUCUGGAGAGAUUUGUAUAAGUCUUCUAAGGCGUGAAUACCACUAGUAUCGAUGUCUGUGACAGCUGAAGAACGUAAAAUAGAACAUCAUUAAUUGGCUGUAAAUCAUGUGCUCACCACGCUCUUAGUUAGUGAUCUAUAAUGUAUGUAAAGAAAUAUACAUUCUAUAGAAGAUAAAAAAUAUAUAGAGUUGGUUUAGUACGUGACAUUUCGAUGAUCAGAAACUGGAUAUUUGGUAAGCUAACAGCUUUCACUUUCUCUUCUUCAUCUAUCAACCACCUUUGAAUCCUAUAUAUUUCAAAAAACAAAAAAUAAGGUUGUUGAAAAUGAUUCUUGCGAACCAAGUAACCGUCUCUUACCUUUCUCUAACGUAAUUAGAAUUAGAGAAGUAAAUAGCCGAGUCAACACGAAUUAUCAUCACUCCGGGAACCAUAGUCGCUUCAGGAUACUGAUGGAUAUUCCGGUAAACCGAAGUCCUCGGAAUCUUUCCUAGAAUCGCUGUCCUAGGUCUUGUAACUUGCAAGAGUAUCUUAGCAAAAGAUAUGCCCACCUAAGACGCACACACACAUACACAUGAUCAGCCAAGAAAACUACAAAUUAAGCCGUUAUAUUAAUUCACAUAUAUGGUGUUUCCUUGAAACGUACGGAAAUGAGAAGACCAAUCUCAACAGAUGCAAAGAUGACACCAAAGAAAGCUCCCAUGCAAGCAACGAAAUCUAGCUUGUCAAUCUUGAAAAUCAAAACGGCGGCGUUUACGUCUAUCAAAGGAAUCACGGCGUUAAUGAUGAUCGCAGCAAGAAUCGCGUUGGGUGUGUAUUUGAAAAGAGGAGUGAGGAAGAGAAGCGUUAAGAGGACGACCAUUGACAUUAUGAUGUUGGAAACUGCUGUUUGACAUCCGGCCACGAAGUUCACAGCUGAUCUUGAGAACGAACCGGUGGCUACGUAGCAAGAAGUCAUCGAACCGAUCACGUUCAUGGCUCCUAAUGCUACCAUCUCUUUAUUUCCGUCGAUUUGGUAGUCUUUCUUUGCUGCAAAUGAUCUUCCGUGCAAAGCACCAUAGUUUUAACUCUUAAAUUAAGUUUAAAAGCAAAGCUUAAGAUGAUUAACAAAGGUUAAUCACGGUCAAUGUGCGUUUAGACAUAAUAAUAAUAACCAUAUACAACAUACGGAUAUAAAUAUAUAUAGUUGUAAAGGUGACCUACACGGCGGCGGAAACUCUCUCUCCUUUGCCGGAUCCGGCGGCGACGGUGGACCUAACCAAGCCCUUCUCUUUCCUCUCGUCCACCGUAAUCUGCUGUUGCCUGCACUCUAAGCUACAAAACGCCCUAUCUCCUCUGCUUAAAUUAACAAACCAAAUUUAAAUCAUCAAAACCCCAAACAAAACCAUGAAACUAUAAGCUUACUUCAUGUUUACUUCGAAAGGUAAACUCACGUAAAUAUGUAAGAAGAAACGUAUACCUAUACAUAUAGAUGUCUCGGCCGGGAACAAGAUUACGUUUACAGAGAGAGCAACACCUCAGAAAAUCCCCGGCGUGAGUGGAGUAAUCUUCUGAGUGUCUCCUUUGUGUACCUCUCGGCGAGACCAUCGCUAAGAGCCGUUGAUCUAACAGUCCAUGAUGAACCUGGCGAUGUUCAUCAACGGUCACGAGCUUACUUUUCCUUGGACUCAACGUCUGAACAUGUUGAUGAUCGGACGGCUCCUCUGGUUCGCAAGGUAGGUUCAAAUCGAAUUUUAUCUCCGACAGGCUCGUGGUUCUCUUUAUCUCUGGUCUCUGUCUCUUCCCCAACAACAUCAUGUUCGUGUUUUUUUAGUUUCUUGCUCCUCUCUUUUUAGGGUUUAUGCUCUGAGUGAACAGAGCAAAAGCGAAAGAGA
rnacentral:lncRNA from 1 species